AUUGAACGCUGGCGGAAUGCUUUACACAUGCAAGUCGAACGGCAGCACGGACUUCGGUCUGGUGGCGAGUGGCGAACGGGUGAGUAACAUAUCGGAACGUAUCCAAUAAUGGGGGAUAACUAAUCGAAAGGUUGGCUAAUACCGCAUACGCCCUACGGGGGAAAGCUAGGGACCUUCGGGCCUGGCGUUAAUGGAGCGGCCGAUAUCUGAUUAGCUAGUUGGUGAGGUAAAGGCUCACCAAGGCGACGAUCAGUAGCUGGUCUGAGAGGACGACCAGCCACACUGGAACUGAGACACGGUCCAGACUCCUACGGGUGGCUG
rnacentral:rRNA from 1 species